rnacentral:rRNA from 1 species
UACGAAGGGGGCUAGCGUUGUUCGGAAUUACUGGGCGUAAAGCGCACGUAGGCGGAUAUUUAAGUCAGGGGUGAAAUCCCAGAGCUCAACUCUGGAACUGCCUUUGAUACUGGGUAUCUUGAGUAUGGAAGAGGUGAGUGGAAUUCCGAGUGUAGAGGUGAAAUUCGUAGAUAUUCGGAGGAACACCAGUGGCGAAGGCGGCUCACUGGUCCAUUACUGACGCUGAGGUACGAAAGCGUGGGGAGCAAACAGG